GAUGAACGCUGGCGGCGUGCCUAAUACAUGCAAGUCGAGCGAACAGACGAGGAGCUUGCUCCUUUGACGUUAGCGGAGGACGGGUGAGUAACACGUGGAUAACCAACCUAUAUGACUGGGAUAAUCUCGGGAAACCGGAGAUAAUACCGGAAAACAUGCUGAACCGCAGGGUUCAACAGAGAAAGACGGUCUUGCCGGCUGUUAUAGAUGGUUCCGAGCCGCAUGAGCUGGUUGGUAAGGUAACGGCUUACCACGGCACCGAUGCGUAGCCGACCUGAGAGUGUGAUCGGCGGCACUGGAACUGGGACACGGUCCAGACUCCUGCGGGAGGCAGCAGUCGGGAAUGUUCCGCAAUGGGCGAAAACCUGACGGAGCAGUGCCGCGUGAGUGAAGAAGGUCUUCGGAUCGUAAAGCUCUGUUAUUCGGGAAGAACAAUUGUUGAAGUAACUAUGCACGUCGUGACGGUACCUAAUCAGAAAGCCUCGGCUAACUACGUG
rnacentral:rRNA from 1 species